ensembl:snoRNA
AUCCUUUUGUAGUGCUUAAGUGUGAUGAUUAGAUUUUCAUACUAUCAUGUGAGAGGUGGCUUCCUCUAUCCUUGUUACCACAUCUGCAUGUUACCCAACUGACA